rnacentral:rRNA from 1 species
AUUGAACGCUGGCGGAAUGCUUUACACAUGCAAGUCGAACGGCAGCACGGGGGCAAUCCUGGUGGCGAGUGGCGAACGGGUGAGUAAUAUAUCGGAACGUGCCCAGUCGUGGGGGAUAACGCAGCGAAAGCUGUGCUAAUACCGCAUCCGAGCUAUGGAUGAAAGCGGGGGAUCGCAAGACCUCGCGCGAUUGGAGCGGCCGAUAUCAGAUUAGGUAGUUGGUGGGGUAAAGGCCUACCAAGCCUGCGAUCUGUAGCUGGUCUGAGAGGACGACCAGCCACACUGGAACUGAGACACGGUCCAGACUCCUGCGGGAGGCAGCAGUGGGGAAUUUUGGACAAUGGGCGCAAGCCUGAUCCAGCAAUGCCGCGUGCAGGAUGAAGGCCUUCGGGUUGUAAACUGCUUUUGUACGGAACGAAAAGGCUCUGGUUAAUACCUGGAGUUGAUGACGGUACCGUAAGAAUAAGCACCGGCUAACUACGUGCCAGCCGCCGCAGUAA